UUAUUCAAAUAAAUAAUUACUGUUAAGUUGUAGGUGACCGAAUAAUGAUUGAUUUACUUACUUCCUGUAUUUGUACAAAGGAACUUUUAGAGUCUGUAAAUAAGCACUGUAAACUUUACGUUAUAACCUGCCAAUCAUUCAUGAGAGUAUAUAGCAACAGUAAGUUUACAAAGGUAUUAAUGUAAUAACUUGUAUUUAUUUAGAUCAGAUCAAUAUACAAUAGGUCAUUUAUAUACAAGCCAAUGUUGUUGUUUUUACAAAUCUUGUAUGCAUCAAAUUAUUGCCCAACGGAAUAAAGGUAUAUUAUUUAAUUAUUCUUGUUUGAUAAUGUCAUAUAAUUAUUCUUUUAUGACUUUGGUUGGUUUGUAUUACUCUAAGAUAGCUCAUACAGGUGUAAAAACAGUAUUUUGUCACGUUGUAAUGAAACAGUUUAAAUUGGUAGAAAAAUAUCUUCGCAAGAUUCUGUCACAAUCAAUUCAAAAUAGAAAGAAAAUACAGUAUAGGAGGAAUUUUAUCUUUCAGCAACUCUCCUUACUUCCUGUUCUUGAGGAAAUCAUGUGGGCUUGUUCAAAGUAACAUGCCAGGCUGUUUGAAACUAUUGUAGGUUGUUAUGAAAAAUGAGAGCAUAAUAUUCUUUCCAGCCUGUCACUAGUCUGGCGUAAUGCACAUGCAUGAGUCUGA